rnacentral:tRNA from 1 species
UGCCCGGUGGUCCAGUGGUUAGGAUUUGGCACUUUCAUUGCUAUGCCCUGGGUUUAAUUCCUGGUUGUGAAA